rnacentral:misc_RNA from 1 species
GGCAGCGACAUCUACAGCCCUUAGUGACAAUUACACCGGACGAGGCCCAACUACUACAACUAUCACGCCCGUCCAAUAUAUAACGCAUACACGGCCACCUCAUUACCAAAGUCUUCUUUAGAAAUGGAGUGUCUAGGAGGACAAUAUACUGCUGAAGUGGUGAUUGUACCAUGGCAAUCUUCUAUCGCUACGUUUGUAGCUUGGAGGUAGUCCUUCUGGAACGAUGGAAGCGCAUAAUACUUAAUGCUGGUUUUGAUAAUAAUUACGGUGCCGCCAUGGACCUUUCCACUGGGAUGUUGGAUAUGAGCAUUACGUCGAUUUGCUGUUAUUUUAAGAAGAGUUCUAGUUCGUAUUUGUGUUGAGCUAGACCGUUGGCAUUCCAAAGAGCUAUGCGUCUUGGUUUUAUUUUGCGUCGGGGCGUAUUAAUUUAUUCAUGAUGAGAGUGCACGCUUCGGCACUCAACAGCGUUUCUUCAAUCUUGCAUUGAAAAAUCCAUGAAGCUGAACUUAACACCUAAAAUAUGAUAUAUGAUUGCAUUUGAUAUGAAAACAGUGUAUUAUUCUGAUACUUUAAAAAAUUAUAAUUACCUCUUUAACGGAAGUACCUACUUAUUACUUGACUAAAUCGUUCGAAUAAUGAAAAUCACUAAAGUAGUAUGAAGCGUCCAUUCCCCAGGCUUACGGUUACUUUUUAUUUCCACGGAUCGUCUAUCUACUGGACGUAUCCCAUUGUUUCAAUACGACGCUAUCGACAGAGUUAUUUUUCACAAAGCUUGAAGCUUGAAAAAGUUUCAUCGUUCCUAUUGGAUAAAUAAAUUGUCUGCAGAAGUGCUUCAAACAUCGACCAAGUUUCUUCGUCCCUAAUCCAGCUGUUUUUCGAUCUAAUAAUUUUUCUCACUUCCGUCUAUAACAAAUUAACACAUACAUCGAUCGUGGCCUACAAAACUAAUAAUUAAUCUCAAGAAACACAUGUGAGAGUUUAAGUCGUAUUUAUCAGAUUGCACACUUAAUUGUUUUCAAA